UUGUGACCUCAAAUCAGGGGGACUACCCGCUGAACUUAAGAUAUCAU
rnacentral:rRNA from 1 species